AAUCCGGUUGAUCCUGCCGGACCCGACCGCUAUCGGGGUGGGGCUAAGCCAUGGGAGUCGUACGCUCCCGGGCAAGGGAGCUGGCGGACGGCUGAGUAACACGUGGCUAACCUACCCUGAGGAGGGAGAUAACCCCGGGAAACUGGGGAUAAUCUCCCAUAGGCGAGGAGUCCUGGAACGGUUCCUCGCUGAAAGGUUCAUGGGCUAUUUCCCGCUCAUGAGCGCCUCAGGAUGGGGCUGCGGCCAUCAGGUAGUUGGGGGGGUAAGGGCCCCC
rnacentral:rRNA from 1 species